UACGGAGGGUGCAAGCGUUGUUCGGAAUUAUUGGGCGUAAAGGGCGCGUAGGCGGCGUGGUAAGUCACUUGUGAAAUCUCUGAGCUUAACUCAGAACGGCCAAGUGAUACUGCUGUGCUCGAGUGUGGAAGGGGCAAUCGGAAUUCUUGGUGUAGCGGUGAAAUGCGUAGAUAUCAAGAGGAACACCUGAGGUGAAGACGGGUUGCUGGGCCAACACUGACGCUGAGGCGCGAAAGCCAGGGGAGCAAACGGG
rnacentral:rRNA from 1 species